AACGAACGCUGGCGGCAUGCCUAACACAUGCAAGUCGAACGAACCCUUCGGGGUUAGUGGCGCACGGGUGCGUAACGCGUGGGGAUCUGCCCUUUGCUUCGGAAUAACAGUUAGAAAUGACUGCUAAUACCGGAUGAUGUCUUCGGACCAAAGAUUUAUCGGCAAAGGAUGAACCCGCGUAGGAUUAGCUAGUUGGUGGGGUAAAGGCCUACCAAGGCGACGAUCCUUAGCUGGUCUGAGAGGAUGAUCAGCCACACUGGGACUGAGACACGGCCCAGACUCCUACGGGAGGCAGCAGUGGGGAAUAUUGGACAAUGGGCGAAAGCCUGAUCCAGCAAUGCCGCGUGAGUGAUGAAGGCCUUAGGGUUGUAAAGCUCUUUUACCAGGGAUGAUAAUGACAGUACCUGGAGAAUAAGCUCCGGCUAACUCCGUGCCAGCAGCCGCGGUAAUACGGAGGGAGCUAGCGUUGUUCGGAAUUACUGGGCGUAAAGAGUACGUAGGCGGUGAUUCAAGUCAGAGGUGAAAGCCUGGAGCUCAACUCCAGAACUGCCUUUGAAACUAGAUCGCUAGAAUCAUGGAGAGGUUAGUGGAAUUCCGAGUGUAAAGGUGAAAUUCGUAGAUAUUCGGAAGAACACCAGUGGCGAAGGCGACUAACUGGACAUGUAUUGACGCUGAGGUACGAAAGCGUGGGGAGCAAACAGGAUUAGAUACCCUGGUAGUCCACGCCGUAAACGAUGAUAACUAGCUGUUCGGGGUCUACGAUCCUGAGUGGCGCAGCUAACGCAUUAAGUUAUCCCCCUGGGGAGUACGGUCGCAAGAUUAAAACUCAAAGGAAUUGACGGGGGCCUGCACAAGCGGUGGAACAUGUGGGUUUAAUUCGAAACCAACGCGCAAAAACCUUACCAGGCGUUUGACCAUCCCUAAUCGCCGGUUUUUCAAAAAAUGAUUUACCCUUUCAGUUUCGG
rnacentral:rRNA from 1 species